GCAUUGGUGGUUCAGUUUUAGAAUGCUCGCCUGCCACGCGGGCGACUCGGAUUUGAUUCCCGGGCAAUGCC